rnacentral:rRNA from 1 species
GCUGGCGGCACGCUUAACACUGCAAGUCGAACGAGAAACCCGAGCUUGCUCGGGUGGACAGUGGCAGACGGCUUAGUAACGCGUGGGUAUCUACCUAGAGGUUUGGAACAACUAUUGGAAACGAUAGCUAAUACCAAAUAUUCCCUAAGGGGGAAAGAUUUAUCGCCUUUAGAUGAGCCCGCGUCGGAUUAGCUUGUUGGUAGGGUAAAGGCCUACCAAGGCAACGAUCCGUAGCUGGUCUGAGAGGAUGAUCAGCAAGAUUGGGACUGAGACA